GGAGCUGUAGCCACCUCCUCCUGAUUCAGUCUGUCUUGAAGCUGCUUAUCGAUCUGAUUUUCAAUAUCUGUCACCAUCUCUGAAGUAGAAGGGCUGACAGACAACAGAAGGGACUUCCUGCCAGGGGUGGAGCUAUGAGCAGAAGGCUGAGAGAGCCCUCUCCUUCCUUGAAGACCAGGAAGAAGCGGUGAGACCCUCCUCUGGCUGACAGCAAACCUGUCACCCCAAGGAACCCUGGGGGAUGCGGAUAUUUAAAGUGGAAAUGAAAGCACUGAAGUUCUGGAAAAGUGAGAAUCACAUCUAUAGCCCAUUCAUUCAGUGACUUCUGGUCUCCACCCCAUGAAGUUCAGCAUCGAGGGACCUUGCACAGAUGGUUGUGGUAGCAUUUUCCCCGGUCUGUGAAGAAUCCUGGAGAACAGAAGGGAAGCAAAGACUGGAGGUGAAAAUAGGAGCUUCCAGUCUUUAGGAGGAGGGAAAGAUCAGUUUUCAAAACUCCAGGCCUGAACCCCACCCCCACACCAUUUUGGAAGGUGAGCAAGGAAAGCAAGGGUCAUCAGGAGCUAGCUGAGGUUUGGUAACCCCUGACUCAGUGGGCACGGGCAUCACCUGGAAGACGGUCAGCACUGCUGAGAAGGUCAGCCCACUCCAGAACUACUCAUCACAGCGUUCAUUUUAACAAGAUUUCAGGGGUGAUUCGAAUGUACGUUCAAGACUGCAAAAAACUUCACAAGAGAAAAUUGGAACUACAUUGCGAUCGUGGAUUGUGCUGGUCAUUUCACAAUAUAUACAAAUAUUGAAUCAUCAUUAUGUUGUACACCUGAAACUAAUACAAUGUUAUAUGUCCAUUGUACCUUAAAAAGAGAGGGAGAGAAUUAAAAAACAAACAAACUAAAAAACAACACAUGCCUGUAUGGGAAAGGAAUCUAAAAAAAAAAAGUGGAUAUAUGUGUGUGUAUAACUGAUUCAUUUGUUGUACACUUGAAACUAACAGCAUUUUGCUGUGCUAAUCAAAGUUAUGCUGUGCUUAGUGGUGUCCAACUCUUUGGGCCCCCAUGGACUGUAGCCUGCCAAGCUCCUCUGUGCAUGGGAUAUUCUCCAAGCAAGAAUACUGGAGUGGGUUGCCAUUUCCUUCUCCAGGGGGUCUUCCCAACCCAGGGAUUGAACCCAGGUCUCCCUCAUUGUAGGCAGAUUCUUUACCAUCUGAGCCACCAGAGAAGCCCAAGAAUACUGGAGUGAGUAGCCUGUCCCUUCAGGGGAUCUUCCUGACCCAGGAGUCAAACUGGGCUCUCCUGCAUUGCAGGAAGAUUCUUUACCCGCUGAGCUACCCGGGAAGCCUGGAUCAACUAUACUCCAAUAUAAAUUAAAGCAAAACAAAACAAAUAGAUAGACAAGCACAGCUUGACCUGUCCUUAGACCCUCUACAAGGUGAUUGAUUUGUAAAUGUCAUCUAAAGCUAGGAGUCUCUUCAGAGGCCUCUCCCUGUAUGGAGGUUAGUGAGGAGAGGCACUGGCUUGGACCAGCAGCUUAUUUGACUUGUUUUAAACCGUGAGUUUCCAGGAAGUCUUUUCCUUUGAAGAGGCAGUUCAGUUCAGCUCAGUCGCUCAGUUGUGUCUGACUCUUUGCAACCCCAUGAAUGGGGACCCCAUGAAUGGGGUCAGUGGGACCCCAUGAAUGACUCUUUGCGACCUCCCUGUCCAUCACCAA
ensembl:lncRNA